CAAUAAGCGGAGGAAAAGAAACCAACAGGGAUUGCCCCAGUAACGGCGAGUGAAGCGGCAAGAGCUCAAAUUUGAAAUCUGGCCUCCCCCGGGGGCCCGAGUUGUAAUUUGCAGAGGAUGCUUCGGGUGCGGCCGCCGUCUAAGUUCCUUGGAACAGGACGUCAGAGAGGGUGAGAAUCCCGUCUUGGGCGGGCGGUCCGCGCCCGUGUGAAGCUCCUUCGACGAGUCGAGUUGUUUGGGAAUGCAGCUCUAAGCGGGUGGUAAAUUUCAUCUAAAGCUAAAUAUUGGCCGGAGACCGAUAGCGCACAAGUAGAGUGAUCGAAAGGUUAAAAGCACCUUGAAAAGGGAGUUAAACAGCACGUGAAAUUGUUGAAAGGGAAGCGCUUGCGGCCAGACUCGGGGGCGGGGUUCAGCGGGUGCUCGUCGCCCGUGUAUUCCUCGUCUCCCGGGCCAGCAUCAGUUUCGACGGCCGGUCAAAGGCCCCCGGAAUGUGUCGUCUCUCGGGACGUCUUAUAGCCGGGGGUGCAAUGCGGCCCGUCGGGACUGAGGAACGCGCUCCGGCUCGGAUGCUGGCGUAAUGGCCGUAAGCGGCCCGUCUUGAAACACGGACCAAGGAGUCUAACAUCCACGCGAGUGUUCGGGUGUCAAACCCGUGCGCGCAGUGAAAGCGAACGGAGGUGGGAGCCUUAGGGCGCACCAUCGACCGAUCCUGAAGUCUUCGGAUGGAUUUGAGUAGGAGCGUGGCCGUUGGGACCCGAAAGAUGGUGAACUAUGCCUGAAUAGGGUGAAGCCAGAGGAAACUUCUGGUGGAGGCUCGCAGCGGUUUCUGACGUGCAAAUCGAUCGUCAAAUUUGGGCAUAGGGGCGAAAGACUAAUCGAACCAUCUAGUAGCUGGUUCCUGCCGA
rnacentral:rRNA from 1 species